GGUGGCAUUCCAAGGGCUCCAAGAACAGUAGUCAGUGAUGAAAUUCGUGCCACUAUCAUUGACCAUGUAAUCAACCACGGUCUUUCACUAAGAGAGGCUGGUGAAAGAGUGCAGCCCAAUUUGAGGCGGUCAACAGUUGCUUCCAUUAUACGCAUCUUUCAACAAACCAACAGAAUGCAACGUCUUCCACCCUCUGGGGGAAGAGGAAAGCUCCUCAAUAAUGAUCAAGAGCUUGCCAUUGUAGAAAUAGUUGUUGCAAACAAUGCAAUAAAACUGCGUGAAAUUCAGACUAGAAUUGUGGAGGACUAUGAGAUGUUUGAUAACAUCGAUAGCAUCAGCCUCACAACCAUUACGCGGACAUUGUCCAAACACAGAGUGCGGAUGAAGCAGCUCUACACUGUUCCCUUUGAGAGGAACAGUGAGAGAAUCAAGGAGCUACGAUGACAAUAUGUCCAGAGAGUUUUGGAAUUGGAGGCCAACCAGGCCCCUCAUGAAUUCAUUUACAUAGAUGAGGCAGGAUUCAAUCUGGCCAAAAGGCGUCGACGUGGACGAAAUGUAAUUGGAAAAAGGGCCACAGCUGAUGUGCCAGGACAGAGAGGGGCAAACAUUACCAUGUGUGCAGCAAUUGCAAAUGCAGGAUUACUCCUUCACAGAUGUCAGGUUGGACCCUAUAAUACUGAGCGCAUCCUUGCCUUUCUCAAUGAUCUCCACCAGCGCCUGGUUCCAGAGCAGGAUCGGGAGGGUGAAAACAUGAGGACCUUUGUAAUUACCUGGGACAAUGUGGCUUUCCAUCAUGCGCAAGCAAUAACAACAUGGUUUGAAGUUCACGCAAGACUGGUAAGUCUCUUCCUUCCACCCUAUUCACCUUUCCUCAACCCCAUAGAGGAGUUCUUUUCAGCAUGGACGUGGAAGGUUUAUGACCAUCAGCCACAUGACCAGAUGUCCCUCCUUGAAGCCAUGGAUGCUGGCUGCAGGGACAUCACAGUUCAGGAUUGUCAAGGGUGGAUCCGACAUACCAAGCGGUUUUAUUCCAGGUGCAUUGCCUUGGAUAAUACCAGAUGUGAUGUUUUUUUUUAGUUCCCCCAAUUUUUAUCUGGACUUUUUGCUGUUGUUUUUUUGUUCAGAAUGGUCUUGUGUGUUUCACGGAUAUUUUGUUCACUGUAAGAAAUACUGUAAAACUUUUUCUGUUCUAUCAUACCGUGUUUCUACUGUACC